CACCGAUGUUCAGAGUAGAGUUCAGACUUACCGCAAAAAUCGCGUUGAAGAAGAAGAUGACAUACUGGCACACGAGGCCACAUCCGUCCAAAGCCAUGGUUCAAAACGACGGGACGAGUCUGAAAAGCGUUGCAAUCGUGAGCAGACGACUCCGGAACUCGGCCCCAAAAUCUGUUCUGUGAACUGUAAAUAUUGUAUUCUAACAAGAGAACGGGAGCACAAA